GUAAAGUAGAAGGAGCAGAAAGGGUCAGCAAGGAGCUGAAAAUGGCAGGAAGGGACAGAGGGUCCCUUCCUGCCAUUUUCAGCUCUUUGCUGACCAUUUCUGCUCCUUCUACUUUACC